GACGAACGCUGGCGGCGUGCUUAACACAUGCAAGUCGAACGGAAAGGCCCUGCUUGCAGGGUGCUCGAGUGGCGAACGGGUGAGUAACACGUGGGUGAUCUGCCCCUUACUUUGGGAUAAGCCUGGACAACUGGGUCUAAUACUGAAUAGCGCCAUGCUCCAGGUGGUGUGGUGGGAGGAUUUGUUUCGGUAAGGGAUGAGCUCGCGGCCUAUCCGCUUGUUGGUGGGGUAGUGGCCUACCACGGCGUCGAAGGGUAGCCGGCCAGAGAGGGUGGGCGGCAAGGUUGGGACUCGGACAGGGGGCAGAAUCGGGGGGUAGGCGGCAGUGGGGAAAAGUGCGAAAUAGGCGUAAGGCGGAGGUGGCGAAGCCGCGUGGGGGAUGAAGGCCUUCGGGUUGUAAACACAGGUAGGCCGUGAAGAAGCCGUUGUGGUGACGGUAGUGGAAGAAGAAGCACCGGCUAACUACGUG
rnacentral:rRNA from 1 species